ACGGGUGCGUAACGCGUGGGAAUAUACCUAUUGGUUCGGAACAACUGCGGGAAACUGCAGCUAAUACCGAAUGUGCCCUUACGGGGAAAGAUUUAUCGCCAAUGGAUUAGCCCGCGUCCGAUUAGCUAGUUGGUGGGGUAAUGGCCCACCAAGGCUCCGAUCGGUAGCUGUUCUGAGAGGAAGAUCAGCCACACUGGGACUGAGACACGGCCCAGACUCCUACGGGAGGCAGCAGUGGGGAAUUUUGCGCAAUGGGGGAAACCCUGACGCAGCAACGCCGCGUGGAGGAUGAAGUCCCUUGGGACGUAAACUCCUUUCGACCGGGACGAUUAUGACGGUACCGGUGGAAGAAGCCCCGGCUAACUUCGUGCCAGCAGCCGCGG
rnacentral:rRNA from 1 species